GGGAUUUGGGGUUGGGGGGAAGAGUGUCGCGGACAAGAGACUGGGGUGAGUUGCCUGUGUACUUCUGGAGGUGAGGAGAAGUAAAAGGAAAUGUUUGUCCCUGUCCUUGUCCUAGUCCCAGCAGGAUAAGCCAAGGGCCAGGAGAUUGAUCUUAAAGGCUGCAUUAUGCCCCCACCUAAGUCCUACCACAGUCGCCAUUUCCUUGGGUGUCUGUCGAGUACCAAGCUCUUUGUGUCUAUCUGAUCUUCACAGCAGCAGUAGUUCGAGCAUUAUCCCAUUUCACCUAGGAUAAAUCUGAGGCUGGGAGGAUAACUUGCCCACCAUGAGUGGAGAAGCCAGGACUGGAACCCCUAUCUGCCUCUCUCUAGAGCCUGGACUGUUCACCCCUAAAGUUGUUCUCCUGCCUUCUCUGUGGUUGCUGCGUUCCGGUUACUGCUAGAGCUUUGCCAAGAGCAAUUGGCCCUGCCUGCUUUCCUCACUCAUUCUUCCCUUACUUACUCUGGUGACUUCCUCUGACCAAGAAGAGGAUCUUCAAGGCUGUCUCUCCACUCUAUGUAAAAUGAUUGGACUUGUGGCAAGUGAGCAGAGGACAGGUCAGUGUGGAGACAGGAGAGACUCGGGCAAAAAUGUUCUAUGGAUGAGUGAAGAACCAAUUUUCUUCAGACCCCACCAUUUGCAUCUGGUCAGCUUUAGACCUAAAGAACAAUUCAAUUCAACACAGUAUAAUGCCGUAUAUAUUUAUUGACAAUCUACCUUGUGUCAGACAUGUGCAAAGUCUUGGGAAUACAAUGACAUGACAAGAGAUAGCACCUGCCCUGCAGAAGCGGAUGAGAUACAGUGUGAUAAAUGUUCUCAGAGGUUUAAGGGCAGGAAGCUAUAAAUGCACUGGGUAAAACAGCAACUAAUUCAGUUGUGAGGGUAUUAGACAUUUCUUAGGAAAAUAUUUCAAUUGAGAACUAAAGUUUAAGUACA
rnacentral:lncRNA from 1 species